ACCGUGAAAAGGGAACCAAACAUUUUAAUGUUUUUACCGUUAUUUUUAAUAAAAUGUUUAAACCACUAUCUAUUUCUGGUAGAUACUGGCCUGAUGAAGGAACUGUGAUUUACCCCACAUUAUAUUAUUUAACAUUCAGAAAUAAGCAUCGUCUGUUGUUCCUCCACGGUUAUUUGCGAAGGCAGAGAAAGAUCUGAACCCGUUAAUAUCAGACAGGACGACAGUGAUGUUGGCUGAAUUUGGAUGAUAGGUAUCCUAAAAGAAAAGUGUUAGACUGGUGCUGGGAGAAGGAAAAAGUGGUAGUAACAAGCUUUGGGUGGAAGGGAGAGGAGUAGGCAAGAAAGAGGUGGGAAUGAAAAAUCAUAUCCCUAAAAGAGCUCUAUGGAGGCAAUAAGAGGGUGGACGUGGAACUGGAGAUGAGGAAAAGACAACUGGAGAAUAUUAAUGUAGUUUUUUUCACAAUAUAGUGACUGUAGAGAUGAAAUACAGAUGAUAUGUUCUGUUGUUCACGGGUUGGUCAAAAGAUCAAAAAUUGUGGAAAACAGGUGCAGAAGUAGUGGAAAACACAGGAAUAGAAACCCGAGUCAAAACCUCAGACCAUUUGAGCAAGUUUGCAGUGGAGUUGUUGCAUCAUCAAUGAGGUGGAUGGAGCAUAGCAGGUUAAGUUCCAACUUGUGAUCAGCUGACUGUCACUUACCAGCUGCCUGCCUCUUCUCCUGCCUGUACACCAACACAGAGCCUCUAAGGACCAGACGCUCUGUCAUCAGGUCGCAGGCAUCUCUUGAUUCCACUUAGUUUAGAUUAAUCUGACUCAAACGAGCACAACAUGCACCAAGAAAUGUACAAGUCCGUGAGGAAGGCUGUGCUUCUGCGCUGUGCCAUCAUUAAAGCAGAGUCCAUUCACUGAAAGAUUUACUUUGGACUGGUGCCAAUGAAACUACUUCCUGAUCAAUACAGAGAAAACCAAGGAGAUGCUGGUAGUUUUUUACAGAUGGCAGUCUGCUAUCAUUCCACCGAUGCACAUCCAGGGAAUGGGCGUUGAGAGAGUGGACUCUUAUAAAGUGCCUGGGUGUGCAUCUAAACAAUAAACUGGACUGGAACACGGAUGCACUGUACAUGAAGAGUCAGAGCAGACUCUACCUCCUGAGGAGUCUUUUGGAGUGAGGGGGCCACUCCUGAAGACCUUCUAUGACUCUGCUCUGUUCUUGGCUGUGCUCUGGACAGCAACAGACUGAUUCGCCCUUGCUGUGUAAAGGAGAUUCCCCCGAUCUUUCCAUCCUGCUGUUAUCAGACUGUACAAUCAGCACUGUUAAUUACCUCCCAGUCAAUAACUCACCCACUGCAUCUGUAGUUAUGUUGUAGACUUUCUUCAGUGCAAUAUUUAUAUUAUAUGUAAUAAUUAUUCCCAUGUCCCUGUAAACUACUCACUUUGUAUAGUGUUGUACUGUGUCGACUUAGCUGAAUUUCAACACUGUACUGUGCUGUUGUGAGGUGCAAUUUCCCUGCUGCGGGACAAUUAAAGGCUUUCUUAUUCUUAAAUAUAUUUCUUUUGGCUUUUUAGUAGCACUGUUCAAUUAGGAGAACAUUAACCAUAUAUAGCUAAUUGCUGUUUGGAAAAUAAUCACAAUUAAUUAAAAGCGCAUCAUAUUGUUAACGUUAUUAAUGUUGAUAAUAACCAGCAGCUGCUGCUUUAUUUGUCUGACUGAAAUAACUCAAACCUACAAAAUAAUGAAAGGAAAAGUCAAAGCGUCAGUGUCUGAGUGACUGGCCUCUUUUCUUUUCUGAAGA